rnacentral:lncRNA from 1 species
GGAUUCAAACCCAGAAAGGCAGACUUCAGAGUCCAUGCCCUUAACCGCUACACUAGCCUGUGCCUGUAGAGAGAGGGCACAAGCUGUUUACACUUUGAAGGCGCUGUGAGAUGAUGUGGAUUUACCAGAGAAGUGAGAGGGUCAGAUGUUGGGUUUAGAGGCUAUGGUAGGCAGCUGUUAAGAUGGUCCCCAAGGAUCCCCACCUCCUGGUAUUUAUGCCCUUGUGUAGUCUCCUCCCCUUUAGUGUGCACUGGACCUGGUGAAUCUAAAAAUUUGAAUACAGCAAAAGUGACGGGCUACGUCUACCAAAGUUAGGUUGCAAGAAGAUUGUGGUUUCCACCUUGUGCAGCCUGUCUCACACGCCUUUGCUCACUCUGAGGAGAGCCACCUGCCAUGUUGUGAGCAGCCCUGUGCAGGGUCCCACGUGGCAGGGAACUCAGCUCUCUGGUGAACAGCCAGCAAAAGCCUGAGAUUUGCCAACAGUCACUCUAGGGGGCUUGGAAGCAGAUGCUCCCCAAGUCAAGCCUUGAGAGAAUUGCAGCCAGCAUCAUUGACAGCACCAACCUCAACCCAAAGUUUUAAAUGCCAAGAAGCUGAGCGAAUAAAGGGUUUCUCCAGCACUUUCAGAACCUUCAUCAGCAAAAUCGCCGAGGAUAAAUUUAAUAAAGGAAAACAGAAAAGGAAGGAGAUAGGUUUAUCUGUUUGUUGCUUUUGAUUUCUUAAUAAGGACCACUCAUGUCUCUGACAGCGUGGGUUAGUGAGUGAAGCUCUGUCUGCAUCAGAAGGAAUAAGACCUGGGUCCUCUCUCACCCUCACUCUGCUCCCUCACUCUGCCCUCAAUAGGGGUAUAGCAUCUGUGAACUCUCUGAACCCUCUGAGCCUCAGUUGUCCCAUCUGUAAAAAGGGAUAACACUUAGUCUGCCUUGGUAAACAAGGCCAGAUCAUCUUUCACGGAUUCUUCUUGUUCUGAAAGGCUCAGCUCUCUGUGACCUUAUUCAGAC